GCGUUGGUGGUGGCAACGGUUAAUCACAUGCUCCCGGAAAGAGUAAGAUCUGGGUUCGACUCCCGGCUGUAGCA